AACGAACGCUGGCGGCGUGCUUAACACAUGCAAGUCGAGCGGUAAGGCCCUUUCGGGGGUACACGAGCGGCGAACGGGUGAGUAACACGUGGGUGACCUGCCCUCAGCUCUGGGAUAAGCCUGGGAAACCGGGUCUAAUACUGGAUAUGACUCCAUGACGCAUGUUGUGGGGUGGAAAGCCUUGUGCGGCUGAGGAUGGGCCCGCGGCCUAUCAGCUUGUUGGUGGGGUGA
rnacentral:rRNA from 1 species